GCUGGGCACAGUGGGGCAUGCCUGUAGUGCCAGCUACUCGGGAGGCUGAGGUGGGAGGAUCGACUGAACCCAGGAGUUCUGGGCUGUAGUGCGCUAUGCCAAUCUGGUGUCUGCACUAAGUUCAGCAUCAAUAUGGUGACCUCCCAGGAAGGGGACCACCAGGUUUCCUAAAGGAGGUGUGAGCUGGCCCAGGUUGGAAACGGAGCAGGUCAAAACUCCGGUGCUGAUCAGUAGUGGGAUGGCACCUGUGAAUAGCCACUGCACUCCAGCCUGGGCAACAUAGCUGGUCUCUU
ensembl:misc_RNA Metazoa_SRP Metazoan signal recognition particle RNA